rnacentral:sRNA from 1 species
ACUCAAUCAUAGAACGUUGAGACACAGUUUGAUUUUUAGGUCAGUUGAUUACAUUAACAACAUAGCAAUUGCUGAACUAUCACCUGUAAGCAUUGCUUCAAUUUACUGACGAAAAAAGUCUCGAGACUGGCAUAACGUUGUCGGCCUGGCCGCACGUUGCUUAUUGACCGAAAGACAGUAGAUGACUAGAUGUUUAACAUAAUCCGUAUAUGGUCAGUCCUCCAUCAGCCAAUUUGUCAAAAUUGCCUGAUAGACCAAUCGACCCUUGGUCAAUUUUCCAGGGUCAUGCGGUCAGCUGAAAUAUAAGAAAAUUCCAAAUGCCGUAAACCAACCAACCAACCAACAUCAGACUUAUAAACAAACUGUCCCCGAUGGUUGGACCAUGAUCAAAGGUUGCUUGAUAGACUAUUCAAUGACUGUUACAACAGAUGAAAUCUGCCAUCACCACGCAGAAAAAAUUAUUACUUGGACAGCUGAAAUAUAAGAAAAUUCCAAAUGCCUUAAUGUCGACCAACCAACAACAGAGAUAACAAACUGUUCCCGAUGGUUGGACUAUGAUCGAGGGUUGUUUGAUGGAGUAUUCAUCAACUGUAAUUGAACUGAUGAAAUUGGUCAUUGUCACACAGAAACAUCAUAACUUAUAGCCGGACAGACAUCAACAGCCAACACUCCUUAUUCAUUCUGCUGGAAGCAGAAACUUGGGACAGGGAAAUAGUAAAAUGAUGAAUCACCAAUAUAUUAUUGUUUUAAUUCGCAUAGCCCACAACUUAAUAUAAACAUGUUUUUGUCUCUAACGUCUUCAUUUUAUUGUCAUUAUUUAUUAUUAUCAUCAUCGAUAUUAUCAGCGAUUAUCACUUUUUUCUGUCAAGUCAAAACCUUAAAAAAUCCAACUUUCGGUUUGAAAAGAAACGUGUACUAGUAAUGUGUCAACUUAUAUUUUCAUUUUCUUACCAUGAUGUACUAUAUGAAUCCUUCAUUAUGACCUAAUUUGACAAACCACUUCUCAUCAUAAUGGUAUAUCGAAUAUUCCUUCCCUAAUCAUCGAGUAGGCCUAAUAGUCUCUGAUAAGUAAACAUGGCUCGUCUAUUGAUAUGUCUAAUAUCAGGAAAAAGAACAGUUAUUAGAUGUGAUGUUCUCCGUUAACAAUGAAACCGGGAAAAACAAAUAAACUGUUUGGAAACAAACAUUAAAUGAUAAGGAAAAC